rnacentral:rRNA from 1 species
GUCGACGGUAACAGGAAGAAGCUUGCUUCUUUGCUGACGAGUGCCGCACGGGUGAGUAAUAUAUAGGUAAUGUGCCCCUUGGACCGGGAUAGCCACUGGAAACGGUGAUUAAUACUGGAUACUCCUUCUACUUAUAAGGGUAGUUGGGAAAUGGAUUCCGCCAAGGGAUCGGCCUAUAUCCUAUCAGCUAGUUGGUGAGGUAAGAGCUCACCAAGGCAAUGACGGGUAGCGGGUUUGAGAGGAUGAUCCGCCACACUGGUACUGAGACACGGACCAGACUCCUACGGGAGGCAGCAGUGAGGAAUAUUGCACAAUGGGGGAAACCCUGAUGCAGCAACGCCGCGUGGAGGAUGACGCAUUUCGGUGUGUAAACUCCUUUUAUAUGUCAAGAAAAUGACGGUAGCAUAUGAAUAAGCACCGGCUAACUCCGUGCCAGCAGCCGCGGUAAUACGGAGGGUGCAAGCGUUAUUCGGAAUCACUGGGCGUAAAGGACGCGUAGGCGGGUUGGUAAGUCAGAUGUGAAAUCCUACAGCUUAACUGUAGAACUGCAUUUGAAACUACUAACCUAGAGUAUGGGAGGGGCAGAUGGAAUUAGUGGUGUAGGGGUAAAAUCCGUAGAUAUCACUAGGAAUACCGAAAGCGAAGGCGAUCUGCUGGAACAUUACUGACGCUAAGGCGUGAAAGCGUGGGGAGCAAACAGGAUUAGAUACCCUGGUAGUCCACGCCCUAAACGAUGAACACUAGUCGUCGGGAUGCUAGUCAUCUCGGUGAUGCACUUAACAGAUUAAGUGUUCCGCCUGGGGAGUACGGUCGCAAGAUUAAAACUCCAAGGAAUAGACGGGGACCCGCAC